rnacentral:rRNA from 1 species
AUAAGCUAUUAAGGGCUAAUGGUGGAUGCCUAGACUGUAAGAGGCGAAGAAAGACGUAUUAGGCUGCGAAAAGCCACGGGGAGCUGCCAAAGAGCUUUGAUCCGUGGAUAUCUGAAUGGGGCGACCCAAUAUAAUGAGAGUUAUAUUACCCUACGGGGAGCGAACCUAGUGAAGUGAAACAUCUCAGUAGCUAGAGGAAGAGAAAUCAAAAGAGAUUCCCAAAGUAGCGGCGAGCGAAAUGGGAAGAGGACAAACCCUGUACUUGUAUAGGGGGUAGUAGGACCAUGAUAUAAGAUUAGAGAAGAUAGAUGAAAUACUUGGAAAAGUGUAGCAUAGAAGGUGAGACUCCUGUAAUUAAAAUCUUCAAAAACUUUAAUGGUAUCCUGAGUAGGUCGGAACACGUGAUAUUUUGACUGAAGCCGGGGGGACCACCCUCCAAUCCUAAAUACUACUUACAGAUCGAUAGUGAACAAGUACCGUGAGGGAAAGGUGAAAAGAACUGCAGCAAGCAGAGUGAAAUAGAACCUGAAACCAUUAGCUUACAAUCAUUCAGAGCCCUAUGACAUAGUCAGGGUGAUGGACUGCCUUUUGCAUAAUGAGCCUGCGAGUUGUGGUAUCUGGCGAGGUUAAGCCGAGUGCGAAGCCGUAGCGAAAGCGAGUCUUAAUAGGGCGAAUUAGUCAGAUGCUGCAGACCCGAAACGAAGUGAUCUAUCCAUGAGCAGGUUGAAGCUGGUGUAAGAGCCAGUGGAGGACCGAACCCGCUGACGUUGAAAAGUCUUGGGAUGACUUGUGGAUAGGGGUGAAAGGCCAAUCAAACUUCGUGAUAGCUGGUUCUCUCCGAAAUAUAUUUAGGUAUAGCCUUGUGUAGUAACAUAUAGGGGUAGAGCACUGAAUGGGCUAGGGCUGCUUACCGCGGUACCAAACCCUAUCAAACUAUGAAUACUAUAUGUGUAAUCACAGGAGUCAGGCGGUGGGUGAUAAAAUCAAUCGUCGAGAGGGGAACAACCCAGACUAACAGCUAAGGUCCCAAAGUUACAUCUAAGUGGAAAACGAUGUGGAGUUACUGUGACAACCAGGAGGUUGGCUUAGAAGCAGCCAUCCUUUAAAGAAAGCGUAACAGCUCACUGGUCUAGUGAUUCUGCGCGGAAAAUAUAACGGGGCUAAGAUGUACACCGAAGCUUUAGACUCAGUUUUACUGAGUGGUAGGAGAGCGUUCACAUCAGCAUAGAAGGUAUACCGGUAAGGAGUGCUGGAGCGGUGUGAAGUGAGUAUGCAGGCAUGAGUAGCGAUAAAACAGGUGAGAAUCCUGUUCGCCGAAAACCCAAGGUUUCCUACGCGAUGUUCGUCAUCGUAGGGUUAGUCGGGACCUAAGUCGAGUCCAAACGGGGUAGACGAUGGUAAAUUGGUUAAUAUUCCAAUACCAACAUAUAAGCGCGAUGUGGGGACGCAUAGAGUUAGUCGAGGUCACUGAUGGAAUAGUGGCUCGAAGGAAGUAGGUUGUUAAGUAGGGAAGUCCGCUUAAUAAUAGACCGAGAUCUGACAGGCUCUUGACACUCUUUAAGAGGAGAUGGAGAAUCGAUGAUACUGUCGUGCCAAGAAAAGCCACUAAGUAUAUUAUAUGUUGCCCGUACCGUAAACCGACACAGGUGGGUGGGAUGAGUAUUCUAAGGCGCGUGGAAGAACCCCCUUUAAGGAACUCUGCAAACUAGCACCGUAUCUUCGGUAUAAGGUGUGCCUACUUUUGUAUAUGGAUUUACUCCAAAAAGCGAAAGAGGUUGCAACAAAGAGUCCCUCCCGACUGUUUACCAAAAACACAGCACUUUGCUAACACGUAAGUGGAUGUAUAAGGUGUGACGCCUGCCCGGUGCUCGAAGGUUAACUGAUGAUGUCAGCGCAAGCGAAGCAUUUGAUUGAAGCCCGAGUAAACGGCGGCCGUAACUAUAACGGUCCUAAGGUAGCGAAAUUCCUUGUCGGUUAAAUACCGACCUGCAUGAAUGGCGUAACGAGAUGGGAGCUGUCUCAAAGGGGGAUCCAGUGAAAUUGUAGUGGAGGUGAAAAUUCCUCCUACCCGCGGAAAGACGGAAAGACCCCGUGCACCUUUACUACAGCUUGACACUGUAGCUUGGAUAUUCAUGUGCAGGAUAGGUGGGAGACUAUGAUGACUAGACGCAAGUAGAGU